rnacentral:lncRNA from 13 species
AUGCAUUAUCCUCUGCCACCAGACCUCCCCGGCGCGGGCGCCCCGCAGGACCGGCCGCGCUGCCCGCAGCCAGCCGCUGACUGCCCCCCGAGCCGCGGGAGCGGCCCCGGCCGCCGGACACCGCCGAAAGGCUCCUCUCGGUGCGGGCACAGCCGCGACAGCAGGCGGUACCCGGGGCAGCGCACACCGCCGGGAACUCAGCCACGCGCAGGUCACAGCAGGGCGGAGCAGCACCGCGAGUUAACCGGACGGCGCCGCGUCCCAUCUGGCCCGGGAGUUUGGAAACUCUCGGCAAAUCCGCAGCCACCGCAACUUGGCCAAGGCUCGAGCGCGAGUGCCACCGGAGAGACAUCGCCGGUCCGGGCUGUGCGGAGCCGCGGCACAGCCCCGCAGCGCCGAGAGCGGGAGCGGACUGUGUGCCGGGCUGUGCCGCCGCCUCCCGCCCGAGGGAGCCCCCGACCCGCGGGCAAACAGCCCCGGGCGACGCCGCGAUGCUGCGCUGACAGGGUCACGACAAGGCGACAGCGGCGGGUCCCACCGCCCUCCGUUCCCUGCCCCGGGGGAGCGAAGGACACACCGCGCCGGCGCCCCUGCCCGCGGCGCAGCGGAGCGCGGGGCUGCCGCGGGGCGCCCCGGCUCGUCCCUCAGCCCUGGCCCGCCAGGAUGCCCACCCUUCACCCCUCCGCCGGACCGGGCGGGCGGGUGCCGCGCCGCAGCCACCAGUUGCGCUUCCCGCUGCGGUACCUCAGCCAGGACGGGAUGAGAAGUCCGCCCGCUGCCGAAGCCCUCUCGCAAUGCAACAAGUGCCCGCCCGGGCGCGGCGGGAGGAGGCGGCGCGGGGGCGGUCGCGGUGCCGCCGCUCAGCGCUCGGGGCGCCCCGGCUGCCACUCACCGCGCCGCGCGCCCAACGCUGCCGCGAGCCCGCCCCCCCCGCACGCGCGCGCUCUCUUGGGCCGCCGAGGACGCCGUACCCCGAGCCGCUACCAUCAAGUACCACAGGGGAGACUCGGGCCGUUCAACCCGCCCCCCUGCGUGUCGGGCCGGCGGCGGCGGCGUGGUUUCCCCCGGCCCGGCACGGUGGUAGCGGCCGGCGGCCAUCGUUAG